rnacentral:sRNA from 1 species
GCCACGCCUAGCCCGAGGCUGAUCCCCGAGGGCGAAAACCGGGAAGCCCCCCAACCCGGCGGCGCUGGCACUUUUUUGGGGG